UUUACGGAGAGUUUGAUCCUGGCUCAGGACGAACGCUGGCGGCGUGCUUAACACAUGCAAGUCGAACGGUGAACGAGGGAGCUUGCUCCCUCCGGAUCAGUGGCGAACGGGUGAGUAACACGUGAGCAAUCUGCCCCGAACUCUGGGAUAAGCGUUGGAAACGACGUCUAAUACCGGAU
rnacentral:rRNA from 1 species